CUCCUACAGGCAGUUGCAAGCUAAGGAAGGUCAGUUUUCAGCUAGAUAAAAGAUUCAAAAUUCUCUCUUCUUUAUUUCCUCCUUUGCGGUUGCAUGUGUCUUGUACCAAGACAAUUACCGAACAAUUUAUCUUGCUUAUUUUCCCUAUGCAGCCAUUCUUAUGGAUCCACAGGUCAAAACAAACACAAAUUACUGAUGCUGUAGCCUCUUCUUUUACAGGCUUUGUUGAGGCCAUUCUGUAUUUGGAAAGAGAUCCAUUCACAAGGUCACCAUUUGCCUAUUUGUGUGUUGUCAUUCAGACUUGGCAGCCUCUGUGGAAAUGGCAGCUUGCUUAAGAGCCAAAGUGUGAUGUGUGCCACUGUCUUUUGCCUCCAGAAGCAGCUGAUCAGGGAGACUGAAAGAGACUGGCUUCUGAGCCUUGGGGCCAUACCCACCUGAUCUUAAUCUCCUGUAACAUGAAGCUGAUAGGAGGAGGCUGAAGCUGAUUCUGAGCAACAGGGUGUCAGGACCACCUUUUGGAGGUGCCUUUCACUGAGCCAUUUUACUGGACUGUAAAGGCAAGAGAUGGGAUAACCAAAGUUAAGUUUAUUAUAAAGCUCAUUUUGCUAAUACAUGAUAAGGAAAAACUCCUCAGCUGAAAAAGUAAACUGGCAUAUUGGACAAAGGUUUGGGGAAAAGACAGAUGAGGAUCUCUGUUUUUACAGGGGGAACUGGUUUACAGAGAGGGAAGAAGAAGAAGUACGCCUCUUCCAUGAACUGUAAUAGGAAUUACACCUCCUCCGUAGUACCUGCUGCAGUGACUUACAGUUGCUGUGUUGAGUGGAGUGGCAGUGGCCACAUGGCUGCACAUCCCUCGGUACAGAUGGAGCCGCAUCUGUCCCUGUUUCAAAGGGGGAAAUUGAGGACUAGGCAAUUUAAUGACUUGCCAGAGGUCACAGCUAAGGUCUGUGACAGCACAGGGAGUGAAUCUAAAUUCUUUCAGUCCGAGGGCCUCAUCCACCAUGCCACACUUCUGAUGAUUAAAUCAUAGUAUUUUCUUUUCAGCACCACAUGUAUGAUGGUGUUUAAUCUUACUUUCGGUUUACUUGAAGACUUUCCUUCAAUAUUAAUUGGUUUUAAGCAGAAGUGUUAAUAUAUCGAGAAAGGAACCUGAAUAACAGACUUUCCUGGUGAAGACCCAGAGGUACAGAUAGUUAGGAUGGCUUUCCCCAUCUGCAGUUAGCACAGUCUCCCCAAAGUGCCCCGGUGCAGUUAGGCACCUGGGAACUGGCUCCUGGGAAAGGUAUUGAUGCUCUGCAAAUAAGCUGAAGCUUUCAUGGAAAAAAAGAUCUGCUGCUGCCUUACUUGGCUUCGAUCCGGCAGUUGUGCCCAGAGGUGCACCGAUUCCUCCUGUGUUGGUGCAGAUGUGGAGGCUCGCGCCCGCAUCCUCCUCACACACGAUGGAGACCGGCAGCCUGAGCCCAGCGGACGGGGAGCAGAG